ACAGCAGUCGCCGCGGUAAAACCAGCAGCCCAAGUGGUGGUCGCGUUUAUUGGGCCUAAAGCGCUCGUAGCCUGGCCGGUAAGUUCCCCGUGAAAUCGGGUCGCCCAACGAUUCGGCUUGCGGGGAAUACUGUCGGUCUUGGGGCCGGGAGACGCCGAGGGUACUCCGGGGGUAGCGGUGAAAUGCUGUAAUCCUCGGGGGACUACCAGUGGCGAAGGCGCUCGGCGAUAACGGGCCUGACGGUGAGGGGCGAAAGCUGGGGGCGCGAACGGGAUUAGAUACCCCCGUAGUCCCUGUCUCUUAUA
rnacentral:rRNA from 1 species